UUUGUACUCAUGUAAGGUGAC
rnacentral:miRNA from 1 species